GGAUAUAAGAGUUAUCAGUAUUUCAACAUCUGUCACCCACUGAUCAGGGUUGAUUGGACUAAUCUGGUCAGUUAGGUGGGUGUUCCCUUCCUCACCGCUCCUUGUGCAUUCCUCCUGAAGCUGCAUACUCGAUUGAAUAGAGACAGAAUGUUUUUCAUUUGAGGGCUAACUGAAGAACAAGGAGCUGUUCUCAACUACUAGAACCUUCAAAAAAGCUCUCAAAAUAUCCAUUUCCAUCUUUUAUGUUUGUUUAUUUUGGUGCCACACUUAGCAGUGCUCAAGACUACUCUAAGGGGACAAACCCAGCUCUUCUGGAUGCAAAGCAUGUGCU
rnacentral:snRNA from 1 species